UUUUUUUUAAAGAUUUUAUUUAUUUAUUCAUGACAGAGAGAGAGGCAGAGACACAGGCAGAGGGAGAAGCAGGCUCCGCCUAGGAAGCCUGAUGUGGGACUCGAUCCAGGGGCUCCAGGAUCAUAGUCUGGGCUCAAGGCGGCGCUGAACCGCUGGGCCACCGGGGCUGCCCUAUUUUCGUUUUUUUUUUUAUAAAGAUUUUAUUAAUUAACAUUAUUUUCAGAGCCUUAGUCCUGUGGAAAGGGAAACUUUACGCUGAGGGGAUUAACACCUAACAGGUUUGUGACAUCUAUUGGUCCACUCGUCCAGCCUAUAGAGGAAAUAACACAUGUAUGAGGCUGUUGGCCAGUAGUAACUACACAUUGAAAGCAGCACAUUUGGGACGCCCAGGUGGCUCAGCGGUUUGGCAUCCGCCUUCAGCCCAGGGUGUGAUCCUGGAGACCCGGAUCUGUAUCUCUCAUUAAUAAAAUUAUUAUUUUUUAAAAUUUAUUUAUUCAUUCAUGAGAGACACAGGGAGAGAGAGAGGCAGAGACACAGGCAGAGGGAGAAGCAGGCUCCAUGCAGGGAGCCCGAUGUGGGACUUGAUCCCAGGUCCCCAGGACCAGCCCUGGUCUGAAGGCGGCACUAAACUGCUGAGGCACCCGGGGUGCCCUCUCAUUAAUAAUUAAAAUCUUAUAUAUAUAUAUAAAAAAAGAAAAGCAGCAUAUAUACCUAGCACUUUCGUCUUCCCGGUUAUCCUGUCAUGGAUAAACAAAGUGCGCCCCAGCAGCAUCCUAGAAUCGGAGGAUCCAAGAAAGUGUACUCUCCGGGGCGCCUGGGUAGCUCAGGCGGUGGUUCAGUGGUUCGGUGGUUCGGUGGUUCGGUGGUUUGGUGGUUCGGUGGUUCGCUGUCUGCCUCGGCUCAGGUCAUGAUCCCAGAGUCCCCGAUGGAGCCUGGCAGCAGGCUCCCUGCUGAGCAGGGAGUCUGCUUAUCCCUCUUUCUUCCUCCCUCUGCCCCUCCCCCUGCUCGUGCUCUGCCAAAAUAAAAUAAAGCCGAAAAGAAAAGAAAAAAAGAAAAAAAAAAAAAAAAGAAAAGAAAAAAAGAAAGUGUACCCUCAGCAAUUCUCUGGGUCUAGAAAUGGCCUCUAAACUAGCUGUAUAGGGCCCUGGAUUGCUCUUGGGGCUACAGGUGAGUAUGGCUGGAUAUCCACGCAGACAGACUGCUGUAAGUAACUUUUGAGACCUCAUUCCCUCUUACCAGACUCUGCAAGACAUCAAGUCCAUGGAGAAAGAUUUGUAAUCGCCUGGGCCUUGGGACUCUGCUUCUACCACAGGCCCACCAUUGCUAACAACUGUGGUGAAGUCCAGCAUUUCUGUGGAUGCUUCUAGGGCAGGGCUGGUCUGCUGGGAAAAUUUCUUGCCAAAGACCAGUGUGGGAGAAACUGGUCUGCAGUUCUAACCAUUCCAACGCAGGGCCUAGUGCCCUCUGGCUGCUCCAAGCUCCAAGAUGACCUUUCUUUUCCCCAACAAAGUGAUUUCCUGAGUGGAGAUGAACUCAGCCAGGGAGAGCUAAAGCCACAGACCCCAGGGAACAGGAAGGGAAGUAGAAGCUCCUCUUCUCUCUCUAUAAGCAGCCUGCUUCACUGUGGAACAGCCUGGUUCAGUGUCACAUCCACUGGGUCUGGGAAUGUGUUUUGGGCUCAGACCAGAGUAGUUCUCCAAAGAAUAACAAAAGAGAAAAGCAAUGUAAUUAAUUCAUUAUCACCAAGGAGUAAAUCUAAUUACUGAUUGAGACAAAUAUCCCUUAAGGUCUGUUACGUGUCCGCUCCUUGCUAAGCUCUGGGUUUGUAGGGUACCUGCUUUUUCAAAGUUCAUAAUCUGGCGGGGGGGCACAGAGACCACAGGAGAAACUACUGUGACCUGGAAUACUCAGUGAGGUUUAAGUUAGAGGGUUGGAUGGGAGAGGUGGGAGGAUGAUCAAAUCGAAAAGGAGACACAUGGUUCAAGGUCUAGAUCUUUCAUGUAUUGCUUAUGAGAGUUUGGGCAAGUCACAUGAUCUAUGACAUUGACAUAAGGAUAAAUGAGAUAAUAUAUGUGGCUAAGGACAGUACCAGGAAAAGUGAGGUCAAACACACAUACAAACACACUGUUGGAAAAUAACUAGCCUGGCUUCCGGGUAUGGUCCAUGUGGGAGGAACAAAGGCAGGCCUUCUUUCCUUGGCAUUUCCCC
rnacentral:lncRNA from 1 species